rnacentral:rRNA from 1 species
GCCGCGGUAAUUCCAGCUCCAAUAGCGUAUACUAAAGUUGUUGCGGUUAAAAAGCUCGUAGUUGGAUCUUGGAAUGUGUUCAAGCGGGUCAGCUUCUGGCUGUGCGCUGCUUGACGUGUUCUUCUAUUUGGUUUUGGUGCGGUGCGCUUAACUGCGUGUCGCUCCCGGCCGAAACGUUUACCUUGAAAAAAUUAGAGUGUUCAAAGCAGACCUGUUUGAGUCUGAAUAUUCGUGCAUGGAAUAAUGAAAUAUGAAUUCGGUUCUAUUUUGUUGGUUUUCGGAACUCGAGUUAAUGAUCAAGAGGGACAGACGGGGGCAUUCGUACUCUGCCGUUAGAGGUGAAAUUCUUGGAUCGGCGGAAGACGCGCAACUGCGAAAGCAUUUGCCAAGAAUGUUUUCUUUAAUCAAGAACGAUAGUCGGAGGUUCGAAGACGAUCAGAUACCGUCCUAGUUUCGACUGUAAACUAUGCCAGCUAACGAUCAGACAGAGUUCUCUACGACUUGUCUGGCAGUUUCCGGGAAACCAAAGCGUUUGGGUUCCGGGGGAAGUAUGGUUGCAAAGCUGAAACUUAAAGGAAUUGACGGAAGGGCACCACCAGGAGUGGAGCCUGCGGCUUAAUUUGACUCAACACGGGGAAACUCACCCGGCCCGGACACAGUGAGGAUUGACAGAUUGAGAGUUCUUUCUUGAUUCUGUGGGUGGUGGUGCAUGGCCGUUCUUAGUUGGUGGAGCGAUUUGUCUGGUUAAUUCCGAUAACGAACGAGACUCUGGCAUGUUAAAUAGUCGCGGAAGUGCGUAUGCACUUGCCGAAUUGACUUCUUAGAGGGACUAGUGAUUUUAAUUCACACGAGAUUGAGCAAUAACAGGUCUGUGAUGCCAAGGCGAUCGUUAACUGCAGACU